GUGACCUCAAAUCAGGUAGGACUACCCGCUGAACUUAAGCAUAUCAAUAAGCGGAGGAAAAGAAACUAACAAGGAUUCCCCUAGUAACUGCGAGUGAAGCGGGAAGAGCUCAAAUUUAAAAUCUGGUGGUCCUCGCGGCCGUCCGAGUUGUAAUCUGGAGAAGCGUUUUCCGCGUCGGACCGUGUACAAGUCUUCUGGAAUGGAGCGUCGUAGAGGGUGAGAAUCCCGUCUCUGACACGGACCCAUCUAAAGCUAAAUAUUGGCGAGAGACCGAUAGCGAACAAGUACCGUGAGGGAAAGAUGAAAAGCACUUUGGAAGA
rnacentral:rRNA from 1 species